UUGUUAUCUGACCUCACCUAGUGUAUUUAAGGCUGUGCUUUUCCUUUGUUUGUUGUCAGAUCAUACUUCAUUCAUUGUGUCAAGUCCUCCAGCUGUCCUGGUGUUGUCAAGUCUUUUUUUCCUUUUUGGACUUUCAUACUCAGUUGUUGGACUCUAUGCUUCUUUAUUCUGGAUUCUGGAUUUCCUGCCUUCUCCUUUGGACUUGGUUGCUUGAUUUGGACUACAUUUACUGGUUUUGACCCUUGCCCAUCUGACCAUCCCUGUUCUCGACCCAGCACCACGUACACACAGCAUGAUGAUGUAACAACGCAGCAACGCAACUACAGCGGCACAGCAAACUGCUUCAGCCCUCUCUGUGGGCCAGGUUGUAUCGCCCCUUGUGCCUACUCUCUCUGUGUCUGAUUUUUCUCGUGUGUUUUCCUAUUUACUCUCAUCCCUGUCCCAGCAGUCCGCACACCCUACCCCUGCACACGCAUCACUCCAUCCUGGCUUCCUUUCUUCUUCCUUUCCUUCAGCUGCAGCUAACACAGCUCCUUUGGCUCUGCCUGCUCCCACAGCUCCUCCUCCUUUUUCUUUCUAUCAACCACCACUAACACUGCUGUCCAUACUGCCACAGCCGCAACAAGUCAUGGCAUUCGCUCUGCUGGACCCACUCCAUCUGUCAGAAAUUCAAAUCCUUGGCAGCAGACUCGGAUCCUCAUCCAACACUGGCCCCUCCAUUUUCAUCCACCAUCUUCACUUGAACCCCCCAGCUUCUCAACCUGCCCACCGCAUCACAACAAGCAAUCAUUAACAGUCUCGCUCCUAGAACACUUUCAUCUUACUAUUCAGGAUGGUGCAGUUUUAAAAACUUUCCAUUUCACGCUCAGCCUGCCAUUUCUUUCCAUCAACAUUAUAUCUUUAACCAGCCUUAUCACUUAAUCUCACUCAGUUCUCAAAAUCAGAACAUCCACCAUCCAAGUGUACCUCAGUAGUAUCAACUUCUUUAUCCUUUCCGGAGCCUUUCCAGCCCCUUCCAUUUCUCACCCCCCAUGUCCACAUGUUAUUCAAAGGCCUACGAAAGACAGAACCUCAGCUUGCACCUAAACACUUGCCCUUGACAGCAGACGUCUCAUCCGUUGCAUCCAAACCCUCUGUGCAGGAUACUUAUCCUCAUUCUUCAAAUUAAUACUCAAAUAAUCCUAACUGCAGCGGCGGAUGGCCGUCCACCAUUGAGUCUGGUCAUGUCCAAGGUUUCUGCCUGUUAAAAGGAAGUUUUUUCUUGCCACUAUCGCCAAGUGCUUGCCCAUGGUGGGAUUUGUCUCUGUAAAUAAUCAUAGAGAGUACGGUCUAAAUCUGCUGUAUAGGAAAAGUGCAAUGAGAUAACUUCUGUUAUACAUUGGUGCUAUGUACAGUAAAUAAAAUUGAAUUGAAAAAUUUAAUUGAAUUGGAUUGAAUGAAUUGAAUUUGGUUCUUUACGAUGCUCGGAAUUCACCGUCCACCUAUACCCCAUCACAGCUCGCGAGCCUCCCUGACAUUUCUAUCGACUCCCCCGACAGCCUCAGAUUUAACCUUAAACUAAGCAAACCCAACAAGCUCGGCCUCUCUCACCCCAUUUUCCUUCUCCGUUUAAACUCUUAUCUGAGCCCUUUCGAACCCAUUCAAACCUACCUAAACCAGAGACUAGCCUCUUCACCACCAAAUCAGGCAGAGUCGCUACUCGCUUCUGGUUCCACUACCAUCUCUGCCAAAUUCUGUUCAAGCAAGGGAUCCUUCGGACCUUCCACAUCAGAGCCACUUCAACCGCUUCCAGUCAAGGAAUCCCAGACCACACCAUAAAAAUGAUUGGCCACUUGUCUUCCCAAGCUUACCACAGCUACAUCCACAGCCACCUCAGCGACAUCCAAAGAGCUCAUUCUUACUUAUUCCCACAAAGUUAACUUUGGAGCAUUAUGAAGCAGAAGCUCAUCAAGACGUGCCUCACCCUGAGUCUUGACCCCCAGGUUCCUAACCACUCCAGCCCAUCACAACUCUAAUCGACCCCUAAUCAUCCCACCAUACACAACCCUCAUCCUAUCCUUCCCGAAUCCUCUUGCCAGUCUAGCUUGUCACAUUCGCCCAUUCGAUUCUCAACUACAUCCAUCUUGACAUGCAACUAUGUCUGACAUUUCCAUCCAUUCUUCUGACACUUUCUUAAUCUCCUAAUCACUUCAAAUUCAGCAUGACCAACCAGUCUCAUCCAUCCCUCAUCCCUCCCUCCGGACCCUCAAUCCAUCCCUCCUACAUCAUCUUGGUUCUCCUUCAUCCAUAAUACACAACAAACUAUUCUAAAUCCAUGUCUUUAUUGGUUGUCUUUUCUUAGUGAAAUUAAGUUUUAUAACUAGAUUCAGGAACAAAGACCACGCCUUGAACACAUCCCAUUUCCAAGUACAAGUAUUUAUCACACAUUAUCCGUUCAUUUCCCUUUCGACUUAGUUUUCACUCCCCUGGUUCCCUCCUGUCUUCCUACCACCAGCUGGCUCCAGUCAGUCAAUUAUCUUACGCCUCCAUCCAUCCGUCCAUGAUCCCGAUCUCUCCCAUCAUCCAUUCACCACUCACUCUUCCUCCCCUCAUCCUCUCAUCCCUCUACCCUCAGCCCCUCAUCCCCUCAUCUCUUGACCAUCACCCCCUAUCCCUUCAUCCCUUAUCCCUCCCUCAACUAACAUUGCUAGUUAAAUGUUUGUAAGGUAACACUUUUCAUGUUAGUCCAACAAAAAUUAAUAAACAGAGAGAGCAAACAGAGAAAGAACAAAGAAAAUUCCAUGUGACAAAACAAAACUUAAGCAUCAUCAAAGGAUACUGUAUAAAAAUCCUGAACAGUAUAUUGUCCAUUUAUCUCUGAAUGUACAGUAAGUCUGUGCCACCCCACACAUACUGCAUGUACUGUAUAUGUGACUAAAGUGACAGUACUUUGUGAGAGAAAGUGGUAUAAUUGCAUAUGUUCCCUCUGGCAAGAAGCCAUGAAAUAAGAGUGUAGGGGAGUGCCAGACGGGAGAAAAGAGCAAUGUUGGCGGUAGAAAGUGACAAAGGGAGGCAUGACUGAAGUGUUACAUUAAGGUCAAUGUUUAAUUACAACCCAGCCUCAUUCUCUGCCUCUGCUGUAUAUUUAAGCGGCAAUAAUUAACCAUUGAUUGGGCAGGCUAAUGACGAGCAAAUAUUAUCAUAAUGGUGUGCUAACCAAGUGUGUAAUAAAUGUACUGUAAGCAUUUCAUCUGGACAAACCGUAAAUUCUCCAACAAAAUGUAGUACUUGACCAAUGGCUGGGCCUCAAAUAAUAGCCAGUCUAUUGAACAAAUAAAGGCCAAAUAAAGACCAGGGGAAUUAAGGUGAAAACCAAAAUUACUGGUACAAGCACAUAAGUGGUUAUACCCAUUACUCUGUUGCGCUGAGAUUAUGUUCUCACUUGCCGUGACAUUAAUGGGGAUCCAACCUACUUUGCUGUGCUUUCUCAAUGUUAAGCUACUCUUGAUAAAACUCAAUUUCCUGCUGAUGUUUUACAAAAAAAUAUCUCCAGGGACUGGGCUAUACUCCUCAAAUAUGAUUUGUAGCAUGCAGCACUUUUGUAAUAUACUUAACUUUGAUUAUUUUCUAUUCUCUUAAUUUCUCUUACCUUUGUCCUUUUUUUUUACAUGUCAGAGGCAUGUUUUUGGAGGUUUUUUUGGUCUGGUCUCUCAAAUUGCUUGUUGCAUGAACAUAGUGUAUGAAUAACAGUCAGGUUACUUGUCUAUCCUAUCAAAACUUCUCCAGUCAAAUGAUACCUGCAUUCAAUCCUUUUUGUAUUCAAAUCUAGAAAAAGAUGACUAUUUGUAUGGUUUUGCUCGCAGCCAGUCACCACAAGCAAUCUUUAAUUUAAUGCGACAAAUGAUUGGCCCGCUACCGCGGCUUCAUAAAGUCUGUGGUGGUGAAGUUGAGCGUGGCGUAUUUUACAGAGUUGGCAGUUCAGCGUGCCAAGAUGCCACCAAAACCUUCGAAAGUAUGGCUAUACUACAUGCCUGUGGUGUCUGAUAAAAAUAAAUGCAUACAUGUGGAAGGAUUAUUUCAGGAAAAACUGGGAACAGACACAGUAACAUGAUUAAGCACCUCAUCAAGCAUGCAGAAAGCUGCAUCGUGUUCACAAGGCCAAUGGCUUCUUCAACACCAGCGACAUCUUCUCCUCAAGAGGACACGCUGCUGUUGAUUACUUCAGAUAAAUAGUUACUAGGCUAACAGUACUCAUCUUUUGUGUGUUAAAACUUAGCCACAAUUUUACCAGUAGUUUUAGCCUCUGUAGCAGCUAAAUGUGUUUGGUUAAUGUUGGCUCCCUUAACUAUGCUUAAUGUUAAGAUCCCCUUGCUACUACCACAAGGGAGAGAGUGCAGGCUGAGUUGAAGGAGACUGAGCAUGUGGCGCUUGUAGCCUAGUACCACUUCAUUACAGUCACUGUCUACUCACCAGUUGUGGAGAACACAACACAUACUGCUGUGACUGCGAGUCACUCCAUGUCUGACUGCACUGGGGGAGCUGUUUGCUGAGGAAGACCUGGCCCUUAAAAACAUCCAGGCAGCGCCACUCCUUGACCGAUUAGAGACGGCACAGAAGGAGCUUGAACUCUACAGAGCUCCACCUGCAGAGCUGACCUCCACCAAUCCCAAUCUUGUUUAACAUGGCCUCUAAUUAUACAUGUGUCCAGGCAUCCUUCACUCCAGCAGAGCGAUUAUUCUCAAUUGCUGGAGACACAAUCAGCCAGGAAAGAGCAUGCCUUGCCCCAGAGAAGGCUGACAUGCUAAUAUUUCUUAGAAAGAACUGUUAAGGACUGAGUGGCUAGUGGCUAGAUUGAGAAUGUUGGUUGUGAUGUUUAAAAUUACACUGCCCAAAUGCUUCAUUGUAUUGUUUUCUAAAGUUAUUUAAUAAAUAUUUCAAUCAUUUGAACACUUUCAAAGUGUAUUCUCAUAAAAAUUGUUUGGAUGGGGAGGAGUGGUGGCAUUUUACGCACCUGAAUGCUUCGAUUAACAUGAGGGAUUUCGAAUGAAGUAGAAAAUAAAAUAAAAAAAGGUAUUGAAUGAAGUACUCUAUUGGUAUUGGUUUCACUUAGGAUACUAAGGAUACUGGUAUUGGUACCGUAAUUUUUUAAACAAUAACCAGCACUAUGUCUAGCAUACUGUUUUCCAAUGCCUUUUACAAAUUUACUAUAAAUUCAUUAGUCAAUGAAAAAAAGAACUUGAACUAUUCUGCCCUGAGUAGUACUGGGCAUGGGUCUUCCUGACCAUGAAUUGCCUUUAUAUACCAUGCAUCUUUCAUCUGAGCCUGUGUAGUACGAGUGCACACAAGAAUAGAAUGUAUGUAACUAUGCAUUUUUAAAUGAAACAAGGUUUUGAAUUCCAAAAUCAUUGUAAAAUGUCAAAAAUAAAAAUGAUAAAAGAUGAGCUUCUUAUAAACAACUCAUUGACAAAUGUUUUGCUACAAACGCACUCUUUUGUUCUUUUUAGAUUAGUGUGUUGACACACAUACAAUAUCUAUUGAUUCCAUGGUGCCUUUGAUGUGCAGGUGGUGUGGCAGGGUUUUUGAUUGUGAGCUUAUUUUUAUGUACAACAUCUUAUGUACAAUUUUUAUGUAUAACUGUGUCCAUUCUAAUUCAUUUGCAUGUUUGUAUCCUUGUUUUGUUGUGUGUGUGUGUGUGUGUGUGUGUGUGUGUGUGUGUGUGAGUGAGUGUGUACAGACAAAGACCAACCAACGCUCCUCAUUCACUAGAUUGCUGUACAGUAGGCAGGGACCGAUCCAUAUUUAAUUUAUUUCUAUCCAUAAUUCACAGACCAUCCCUCAGUGCCUUACAAGUGAGGGACUCUUAAUAGGAUGGGACAUCUCUCACUCUCUCACACAUCUGGCUCCAGUCAGAUCUCUUUUUCGUGUUUUUCUUUAUCUUAAUAUUUUCUUUCACACAGAUAGUUUGGCUUCAAUAUCAGUCAACCUCCGCUGUCCUAAGCAACAUUCCAGUGUUUAUCAGUAGCUAUUAUGGAGCAAGAAGGUUCCAACACAUUCACAAUCCAAAUAGCUUGGAUCAGAGAAAGUUCUCAGAAUCCAGUUUCCAGCUAAUCUGCUAUCCUAUAAAAGGUGAC